rnacentral:rRNA from 1 species
GACAACUCUAGAGAUAGAGCUUUCCCCUUCGGGGGACAAAGUGACAGGUGGUGCAUGGUUGUCGUCAGCUCGUGUCGUGAGAUGUUGGGUUAAGUCCCGCAACGAGCGCAACCCUUAAGCUUAGUUGCCAUCAUUAAGUUGGGCACUCUAAGUUGACUGCCGGUGACAAACCGGAGGAAGGUGGGGAUGACGUCAAAUCAUCAUGCCCCUUAUGAUUUGGGCUACACACGUGCUACAAUGGACAAUACAAAGGGCAGCGAAACCGCGAGGUCAAGCAAAUCCCAUA